rnacentral:rRNA from 1 species
UACGUAGGGGGCAAGCGUUGUCCGGAUUCAUUGGGCGUAAAGAGCGUGUAGGCGGUCAGAUAGGUCAGCUGUGAAAACUCGGGGCUCAACCCUGAGACGUCGGUUGAAACCAUCUGGCUAGAGUCCGGAAGAGGAGUGUGGAAUUCCCGGUGUAGCGGUGAAAUGCGCAGAUAUCGGGAAGAACACCCGUGGCGAAAGCGGCACUCUGGGACGGAACUGACGCUGAGACGCGAAAGCGUGGGGAGCGAACAGG